GAAGCACGAGUAGCCGACAAAACAAUCCACCGUAAAAAAGAGAGAGCAUAACGAAAACGUGAUUGCUCAGUCACAAGAGAGUAUGGAACAGGAUAAUAUGCGGAGGUUUUACGGCACUGUCAAUGGCGUGCGACGAACAACAGCGCCUUCUCCCGGCAUGUGCAACGACCGUAAUGGAAACUUACAAACAGACAUAACAAUGGUGGCUGCCAGGUGGAUGUUGAGGGAGCACGUCGAGGAAUAAAAGGUAGGAAUGGAAGAGCGGCAGACAGAAUUCCGAUCGAUGACGACGGACAGGCUGUGGGCCCUCCAACAUUAGACGUGGUCAAGACAUCCAUUAAAUAACUGAAGAGAAACAAGACCGCUGAGAAGGGCGAACUCCUGGCCGAGCUUCUCAUACACGGUAAUAAGCAACUAUAUCAGCUCUAACGUUGUACUGUAUUGAAGAUAUGGAAAAGGAAGAAUUGUAUUCCAGUUGGUCUCAUUCGCCCCUUAAUACAAGAAAGGGUUUUGAACGGAGUGCGCGAAAUGCACUGUCACGCAAUCGUCACUUGAUCUGCUGAUGAUUGUGAAGACAUUCAUUGACAUUUAGAACGUGUUCAGCUCUAUGAUCAAAUUAAAUGAACACUUAGCGAAAGGAAAUAAACGAUUAUCAAUGGAAUAUCAACGUCAACUACCCAAACCAUGCACGAGAGUAAAUACCAUAUUUUUUCGAAACUUCCACCCGACAACAUGUUUCUUCACUCAGCAGCUCUACUAAUAGUGUUCCAAAGAAUUACUUUUACCUUCGGCGAGAUUUGCAUUGAUGUGCAUGCAUCUAGUGAUAGAGCUAGUGAUUGCUGUACUAUACCACGACCAUUUCCAAAAACCGGUCUGCGUGAAUGUGACAGAAAGGCUCGACAAGAAAAUUCCGGUGCUUUAUAUGUCGUACCGAGUUGCACAACGGAAUGUUAUUACCAAAAGUUGAAUAUCAUCGAUAUAAAUACACUCCUCAUGGAUCAGGUAUUGCUCUAUCUGGGUAGCCUGGAAACCAACGCUCGAGAGUUGUACAAGAUCGCCUUCCAAGCAUGCGACGAUCAGCUCAUGAAAAAUAAGGAGCACGAAAUAAUAACUAAAUGCAGAAAAUUUCCAGCUAAUAUGGACGCAUGUGUGCAAAAAUUUGUAAUCCAGCGGUGUCCGGUGCAAUACUGGAAAGAGUCCGAAUUUUGCAGCCAGUUGAAAGCGGAACAAAAUAAUUGCCAAAAAUGAAUGGAAUCUGAAUAAACACUCUUUAAAAAAUAGAACUUGACCAUUGGCGUAAACCAAACGA